rnacentral:lncRNA from 1 species
GGCACCAGAGGUGGCACCAAGGAACACCCACAGCACUCCGGUGACAUUGAGGGACACAGGACACCGGCGGGGGUGGCACCGGGGACACCGAUGGGCACGGAUGGCACCAAGGGAUGGCAGUGCCACCCUGGGGACACCUCGAUGACACCCUGGUGCCACCCUGCGGGCAGUGCCAGCGUCGUUUAUUGGGGUGGGGACAGCCGGGGGUGGCACGUGUCCCCAAACGUGUCCCUGAUGCGUCACACACACGGUGUCACAGCUGUCACGUGUGUCACACACGUGUCACACAUUGUCACACGUGUCACACACGCAUUGUCACACGUGUCACACACGUGUCCCCAGCAGCACAGGGACACGGGCGUGGCCACGUGGCCGUGGUGGCAUCAGGCAGGACACGUGUCCCCUGUGCCACCCACAGGGGCAUCACCCAUGGGUGGCAUCAGCAGGGACAGUGGGUGCUGGCAUUGUCACCUGUCACCAACACUGUCACCAACACGGACACAGCGAGUGACACCGGUUGUUGUCAUUGUCCCCUUUGUCACCAACAGGGUCACAGUGGUGCCAUCAAUUGGUGUCACCAACACACUCACAGUGAGUGACAGCGGGUACUGCCAUUGUCACCUGUCACCAACACUGUCACAGUGUGUGACACCGCCUGUUGUCCUUUCUGUCACCAACACCACAGUGACACCAGCUGCUGUCACUGUCACCAACAUGGUCACAGGAUGUCACAUCAGCUGUGCUCAUUGUCCCCUGUCACCAACACUGUCGCAGUGAUGCCAUCGAUGCCAUCAGGUGUUGUCACACAUCCCCUUUGUCACCAACACUGCCACAGGGUGUGGCAUCAGGUGGUGCCACUGUCCCCUCUGUCACCAAGAUGGUCACAGCGAGUGACACUGGCUGUUGUCCCCUCUGUCACCAACACUGUCACAGCAAUGCCAUCAAUGCCAUCAGGUGUUGCCGUCACUGUCCCCUCUGUCACCAACGCUGUCACAGUCAUGGCACCAGGACACUGCCACACGUCCCCUGUCACCAACAGGGUCACAGCGAUGCCAUCAACUGCUGUCACUGCCAUGUCCCACAGUGGCCGUGUGUCCCACGGUGUCACCUCACGCCUGGGUCCCACGGUGGCCGUGUCCCCUGAUGUCACUGCCGUGUCUCCGCUGUCACUGCUGUGUCCCACGAUGGCUGUGUGUCCCUUCUGUCCCCUCAGGCCUGGGUCCCCACGGUGGCUGUGUGUCCCAUGGUGUCCCCGCUGUCACCUCAGGCCUGGGUCCCCAUGGUGGCCGUGUCCCUGGUGUCACUGCAGUGUCCCCACGGUGUCACUGCAGUGUCCCCACGGUGUCACCGUGUCCCCGCUGUCCCCUCAGGCCUGGGUCCCCUUCCUCUCCCGCAGCCGCUGCUUCAGCUCAGCCAUGGCCUGGCGCUGAGGGGACAGGGACAGUGACACAGGGACAGUGACACAGGGACAGUGACAGGGACACAGUGACACAGGGACAGUGACACAGGGACAGGGACAGUGACACAGGGACACAGCGACAGUGACACAGUAAUAGUGACAGUGACACAGUGACACAGCGAUAGGGACACAGGGACAGUGACACAGGGACAGGGACACAGGGACAGUGACACAGUGACACAGGGACAGGGACACAGGGACAGUGACACAGGGACAGUAAGGCGACAGUGAGGGGACAGUGACACAGGGACGGUGAGGGGACAGGGACACUGAGGAGACAGGGACAGGGAACAGUGACAGUGACACAGGGACAGGGACACAGAGACAGUGAGAGGACAGGGACACUGAGGGGACAAGGACAGUGACACAGGGACAGUGAGGGGACAGGGACACAGGGACAAGGAUACAGUGACAGUGACACAGGGACAGUGACACAGAAACACAGAGACAGUGACAGUCAGGGGACAGGGGACAGUGACACAGUGACAGUGACACAGGGACAAGGACACUGAGGGGACAGGGGACAGGGACACA